AUUGCUUCUCGGCCUUUUGGCUAAGAUCAAGUGUAGUAUCUGAUAUCAGAGGCUUAGAUGGCACCAUCCCUCCAUCUUUCUGCCUGUAAAAUAUAUCUCUUCCAGGCUGAUUCUAU
ensembl:snRNA LOC120101110 U2 spliceosomal RNA